AACGAACGCUGGCGGCAUGCCUAACACAUGCAAGUCGAACGAGACCUUCGGGUCUAGUGGCGCACGGGUGCGUAACGCGUGGGAACCUGCCCUUAGGUUCGGAAUAACUCCCCGAAAGGGGUGCUAAUACCGGAUAAUGUCUUCGGACCAAAGAUUUAUCGCCUUUGGAUGGGCCCGCGUUGGAUUAGCUAGUUGGUAGGGUAAAAGCCUACCAAGGCGACGAUCCAUAGCUGGUCUGAGAGGAUGAUCAGCCACACUGGGACUGAGACACGGCCCAGACUCCUACGGGAGGCAGCAGUGGGGAAUAUUGGACAGUGGGCGAAAGCCUGAUCCAGCAAUGCCGCGUGAGUGAUGAAGGCCUUAGGGUUGUAAAGCUCUUUUACCCGGGAUGAUAAUGACAGUACCGGGAGAAGAAGCUCCGGCUAACUCCGU
rnacentral:rRNA from 1 species